ensembl:snoRNA
UUGCAUGUAGAAAUGUUUACUCCUCUAUCCUUUGGGAACGGUAAUACAUUCAAAACAUGCUACAUUUAAAAAGGACUCCUCAGGGUGACCAACUUUAUGGUAGAGUUUGUAAGGUAAUACAUUUCUCCUUCAUAA